GGACGAACGCUGGCGGCGUGCUUAACACAUGCAAGUCGAACGAGGAUCAAGGAAGAGCUUGCUCUGAGAUGAUCCGAGUGGCGGACGGGUGAGUAACGCGUGAACAAUCUGUCUCACACAGGGGAAUAACGCAUCGAAAGAUGUGCUAAUACCGCAUAGGACCACGGGAGGGCAUCCUCUUGAGGUGAAAGGAGCAAUCCGGUGUGAGGUGAGUUCGCGUCUGAUUAGAUAGUUGUGGGGUAACGGCUCACCAAGUCAACGAUCAGUAGCCGACCUGAGAGGGUGAUCGGCCACAUUGGGACUGAGACACGGCCCAGACUCCUACGGGAGGCAGCAGUGGGGAAUAUUGGGCAAUGGGCGAAAGCCCUGACCCAGCAACGCCGCGUGAAGGAAGAAGGUUUUCGGAUCGUAAACUUCUGUCCUUGUUGAAGAGCGAAAGACGGUAGGCAAGGAGGAAGCCCCGGCUAACUACGUGCCAGCAGCCGC
rnacentral:rRNA from 1 species